CGGCAUCGCAGGAGUGGUGGCGCAGCUGUUUCCUCUGGUAGGUGUUCCGCUGCCAUCUUGUGUGUGGCUAGGACUGGGCUUCUUGACGGUUGAACGCUUACUUAGUGGCUCCAGAGAGCUACUCCGUAAUCUUUGUCUCGGAAGAUUGACCGUCACCCCUCUUUAAGGAGGUUGUCUGAUGGACUGCCUGAUUCAGGAAGGAACAAGGCUGGUCAUUAAUAGAAGGGGAGAGAGGGAGAUGCCUCACCACUAUCCUCAGAAGCUGUGUUGAUCAGUGACUGGUGAAGGCUAAGAAAGUUGAAACAAAUUUGCAGAUGAUAUACAACUUCUAAGGUAAGCUGAUAUAACAACUCA
rnacentral:lncRNA from 1 species